rnacentral:rRNA from 1 species
GAUGAACGCUGGCGGCGUGCUUAACACAUGCAAGUCGAACGGAAAGGCCCAAGCUUGCUUGGGUACUCGAGUGGCGAACGGGUGAGUAACACGUGGGUGAUCUGCCCUGCACUUCGGGAUAAGCCUGGGAAACUGGGUCUAAUACCGGAUAGGACGAUGGUUUGGAUGCCAUUGUGGAAAGUUUUUUCGGUGUGGGAUGAGCUCGCGGCCUAUCAGCUUGUUGGUGGGGUAAUGGCCUACCAAGGCGUCGACGGGUAGCCGGCCUGAGAGGGUGUACGGCCACAUUGGGGCUGAGAUACGGCCCAGACUCCUACGGGGGGCAGCAGUGGGGGAUAUUGCACAAUGGGCGCAGGCCUGAUGCAGCGACGCCGCGUGGGGGAUGACGGCCUUCGGGUUGUAAACUCCUUUCGCUAGGGACGAAGCGUUUUUGUGACGGUACCUGGAGAAGAAGCACCGGCUAACUACGUG